AAUUUAUCUAACUAACUUACUACAUUAUUAUUGUUAUUUUAAUAUUAGGAGCUCUAAAGACCCAAACCGAAAAGAAUGCCUAAAGUGGUUUUCAAAAGAUGAAUUGACGAAUUUCUUAAUUCUUUUUGUUUCGUUGUGAUAAUUUGUCGUAUGAGAACGCUAACGAGAAAAAACUUUUUAAA